UCUACAUCUAUCGCCGACUCGCCAUUCGUGAAGACGCGAACCCUCUCCGCAGCCGCAGCCGGCCAGUCGAGGCAUCGAGCAGCGCCGCUACCACCGCAACCCUCUCCGCAGCCGCAGCCGGCCAGUCACGCUCUCACCGUCACUCCGUUAGGCAGUCACCAACUCAUCUAACCAUCACUCCGUUAGGCAGUCACGAACUCAUCUCACCGUCACUCCGUUAGGCAGUCACCAACUCACCGCUGCCUUCUCCAGUCUCCACUGUUUUUUUUUUUUUUUUUUUUUUUUUUUUUUUUGCUCUGCAUUGUUUCGGGACUUUCAGCUCCAAAAUUCCAAGAUCCAGAUUCCAGAUUCAAGAUAUGUCAAAGUUGAGUUUGGAUCAUGUGAUUGAUUAGAAAAACAAGAUUCAAGAAAAAUAUAAUUGACUGUGU